CGGGCACCUUUCCAACUCGGAUCGUCCGGCACGUUCCUGCCGGUUGAAAGGGAGUGCA
rfam:Catenulispora acidiphila DSM 44928, complete genome.